rfam:Myotis brandtii contig192838, whole genome shotgun sequence.
GGUGGUUCUCAGGUGACACAGCCCGUAAUUGGACUCCCUCCUCUCUGGUUUCAGGUGCAUCACCUGAGAACCACA